AGUGAACGCUGGCGGUAGGCCUAACACAUGCAAGUCGAACGGCAGCACAGUAAGAGCUUGCUCUUACGGGUGGCGAGUGGCGGACGGGUGAGGAAUACAUCGGAAUCUACUUUUUCGUGGGGGAUAACGUAGGGAAACUUACGCUAAUACCGCAUACGACCUACGGGUGAAAGCAGGGGAUCUUCUGACCUUGCGCGAUUGAAUGAGCCGAUGUCGGAUUAGCUAGUUGGCGGGGUAAAGGCCCACCAAGGCGACGAUCCGUAGCUGGUCUGAGAGGAUGAUCAGCCACACUGGAACUGAGACACGGUACAGACUCCUACGGGAGGCAGCAGUGGGGAAUAUUGGACAAUGGGCGAAAGCCUGAUCCAGCCAUACCGCGUGGGUGAAGAAGGACUUCGGGUUGUAAAGCCCUUUUGUUGGGAAAGAAAAGCAGCAGGUUAAUACCCCGCUGUUCUGACGGUACCCAAAGAAUAAGCACCGGCUAACUUCGUG
rnacentral:rRNA from 1 species